CCGUUUUUCCAAUUUCACCGGAUUAAUCCCGUAAGUGAGUUGUCUGCUGACCAAAUUGCCCCUAGGGGUCCUUUUGUGCCAAAUGAAGCAGCAAGCGCCGCCACGCUGCCGCUCUACUCCGUCGUGCCGCUUUGCUCCGCCGCCGCCACUCUACUCCGCCGCAACGCUGCCGCUCUACUCCGCCGUCGCCGCCGUGCCGCUCUUAUCUGCUGCCGCCGCUAUGCCGCUUUGCUCCGCCGCCGCUGUGCCACUUUCGCCGGCGCUGAUUUGCGGAGAUGAGAGGAAACCCUAACCCUAGGGGGGCUAUGCAGCGAAGGUAUGCAGCUGGAAGCGAGGAUUUCGGGAUGUCGCAAGUAGUAGAGUGCAGAUCGAUGAGGCAUGGUGGAAAGGUUUUCUUCAAAUGCGAGGAAAACGAACAAGAUGUGCCAAAUUGUUGCAAGUUUUUCAAGUGGAUCGAAAGUUAUAGGAAGAUGGUUGAAGGAAUGAGUGAGCAUGUUGUUGAUGAAGGUCCAAGUGAUGUUGCACUGGUUGAUGGUUCUAUAGAGAUGAAGCGGAGUUCAGUUGAUGAUGGAAAGAUUGAUAAGCU